UACCUGCACCCCGAGUGGUCGGGACGAUUAUUGGGCCUAAAGCAUCCGUAGCCGGUCCUGCAAGUCUUCCGUUAAAUCCAGCUGCUCAACAGAUGGGCUGCGGGGGAUACUACAGGGCUAGGAGGCGGGAGAGGCAAGCGGUACUUUAUGGGUAGGGGUAAAAUCCGUUGAUCCAUAGAAGACCACCAGUGGCGAAGGCGGCUUGCCAGAACGCGCUCGACGGUGAGGGAUGAAAGCUGGGGGAGCAAACCGG
rnacentral:rRNA from 1 species